GACGAACGCUGGCGGCGUGCCUAAUACAUGCAAGUAGAACGCACAGUUUAUACCGUAGCUUGCUACACCAUAAACUGUGAGUUGCGAACGGGUGAGUAACGCGUAGGUAACCUGCCUGGUAGCGGGGGAUAACUAUUGGAAACGAUAGCUAAUACCGCAUAAUAUUGAUUAUUGCAUGAUAAUUGAUUGAAAGAUGCUAUUGCAUCACUACCAGCUGGCCCUGCGUUGUAUUAGCUAGUAGGUGAGGUAACGGCUCACCUAGGCGACGAUACAUAGCCGAACGGAGAGGGUGAUCGGCCACACUGGGACUGAGACACGGCCCAGACUCCUACGGGAGGCAGCAGUAGGGAAACUUCGGCAAGGGACGAAAGUCUGACCGAGCAACGCCGCGUGAGUGAAGAAGGUUUUCGGAUCGUAAAGCUCUGUUGUAAGAGAAGAACGGGUGUGAGAGUGGAAAGUUCACACUGUGACGGUAGCUGACCAGAAAGGGACGGCUAACUACGUG
rnacentral:rRNA from 1 species